GUUGCCAAUUUGAAAGCCGAAUGUGGUCGCUCUGCAUGCUUCUACCUGGAGGGACUUCUCUUGUCGGGACACCACUGCAGGGGAGGCCCUUUCCUGUGCCAUCACCACACAAUAAGGUACAUCUUUUGGUGGGACAGCCAGCCUUGUUUUGUUCCAGCUCUUAUUUUUACCAACCUCACAGAGCUACCUGUGCCAGAAGCAGAUCUGCUCCAUUGACAAAAGGCAAUGUCAGAGUUCUUGAUACAUCAAGUGAACAUCUGCAGUGUAGGAUUGAGAGACACCUGCGUCUUGACUGUGCUGCUUUAGGUAACCUGCUGUUUUUGCUCCUGUGUCUGGAGGGGAGGGCUGCUGAAGACCCUAGUCUCUUCCAGGUGCAUCUCAGUGACACAAGAAAUAGAAUUUUGCAAGCCUUCAGGAAACUUAACGGCAAGUGAACUUAACAUUCCACAAUUCAGUGAUCUUUUUCAGUCCAAUCCUUUUGUGCUGGCUUCUCCAUUUCCCCCUGCUUGAUCUCGUCACAGUUCUGUCCAAGAGCCCACCACACUCAGGAGAAGCCAGCUCUUCCUGCAGAAGUCAGACCAGCAGAAGGAACUUCCAGGCCCAUGAAUUCACACUUCGGAGGAACAGACAAAACGGUGAGCAUAAAGGCAGAGUUUGAAGACUGGAACCAGUCUCUCUGUUCUGCCCUGCAAAUUAAUGGCAGUCAACAUGGCACUCUGUGACUUAAACACAUCUAGGUGAAUAUCCCUUGCUAAUGGCAAGGGAUAAAACCUCGAUUGUGUUCUGUCUGCAACUUCAUAAUUCUUAAGGGUUUUCUUUUUUCCUGAGAGAACAUUCUGUAUUCAGAGUGUUCUCUCAGGUUUUGCUUUUCACCUUGUUGCAUUGGCCAAAAAAAAGCAAAAGACGCUGGUGGUUGGUGCUCCUGGUUCCCAGGACGGGGUUCAAGCCCCUGCGGUGUCCCUGCUUACUUCCAAUGCAACCUCUCUCUCUCUCUCUCUCUCUCUCUCUCUCUCUCU